UACGUAGGGUGCGAGCGUUAAUCGGAAUUACUGGGCGUAAAGCGUGCGCAGGCGGCUUUGCAAGACAGAUGUGAAAUCCCCGGGCUCAACCUGGGAACUGCAUUUGUGACUGCAAGGCUAGAGUACGGCAGAGGGGGAUGGAAUUCCGCGUGUAGCAGUGAAAUGCGUAGAUAUGCGGAGGAACACCAAUGUCGAAGGCACUCC
rnacentral:rRNA from 1 species